AUUUAAAUAGCUUAUAUAGAGUAUUGAAUUGAAGCUUCAAGGGAAACAUUGUGUUUUUAAAUA
rnacentral:tRNA from 1 species